rnacentral:rRNA from 1 species
GGAUCAAGGAAUCGGUCAUGCCUUGGUAUGUACUGGUUUUAUUGGUUCUCACCUUCUAAAGAACCAUAAUGUCAUUUAUUUGAUGUUAUGGGGAAUUAGGACUGUUACCUUGAAAAAAUUUUAGAGUGUUUAAAGCAAGCUUACGCUUGAAUACAUUAGCAUGGAAUAAUGAAAUAGGACAUCAGAUUCUAUUUUGUUGGUUUCUAGGAUCGAUGUAAUGAU